rnacentral:antisense_RNA from 5 species
AGGAAGGCUUCCACGGCUUGUUCGUUGGGGGCCUUUUUCUUUUGC